rnacentral:rRNA from 1 species
CUUCCGUUAGGGGAACCUGCGGAAGGAUGACAUCUGCUGAUUAGUACUACACUGCGUGAGCGGAACGAAAACAACAACACCUAAAAUGUGGAAUAUAGCAUAUAGUCGACAAGAGAAAUCUACGAAAAACAAACAAAACUUUCAACAACGGAUCUCUUGGUUCUCGCAUCGAUGAAGAGCGCAGCGAAAUGCGAUACCUAGUGUGAAUUGCAGCCAUCGUGAAUCAUCGAGUUCUUGAACGCACAUUGCGCCCCUCGGCAUUCCGGGGGGCAUGCCUGUUUGAGCGUCGUUUCCAUCUUGCGCGUGCGCAGAGUUGGGGGAGCGGAGCGGACGACGUGUAAAGAGCGUCGGAGCUGCGACUCGCCUGAAAGGGAGCGAAGCUGGCCGAGCGAACUAGACUUUUUUUCAGGGACGCUUGGCGGCCGAGAGCGAGUGUUGCGAGACAACAAAAAGCUCGACCUCAAAUCAGGUAGGAAUACCCGCUGAACUUAAGCAUAUCAAUAAGGCGGAGGAAA